rnacentral:tRNA from 1 species
GCCGGUGAAGCACAACGGGACAGUGCACCGAUCUUGUAAAUCGGAGGCAGCGGGUUCGAGUCCCGCCACCGGCU